AUUGAACGCUGGCGGCAUGCUUUACACAUGCAAGUCGAACGGUAACAGGGAGCUUGCUGCGCUGACGAGUGGCGAACGGGUGAGUAAUGCAUCGGAACGUGCCGUGUAGUGGGGGAUAACGUAGCGAAAGUUACGCUAAUACCGCAUACGCCCCGAGGGGGAAAGUGGGGGACCGCAAGGCCUCACGCUAUACGAGCGGCCGAUGUCGGAUUAGCUAGUUGGUAGGGUAAAGGCCUACCAAGGCGACGAUCCGUAGCGGGUCUGAGAGGAUGAUCCGCCACACUGGGACUGAGACACGGCCCAGACUCCUACGGGAGGCAGCAGUGGGGAAUUUUGGACAAUGGGCGCAAGCCUGAUCCAGCCAUGCCGCGUGAGUGAAGGAGGCCUUCGGGUUGUAAAGCUCUUUCAGACGGAAAGAAAUCGGUGUGUCUAAUACACGCACUGGAUGACGGUACCGUAAGAAGAAGCACCGGCUAACUACGUGCCAGCAGCCGCCGUAACAC
rnacentral:rRNA from 1 species